CGGAGAGGCCUCGGCCCGACGCCCGCGAGCGCCUUUCAAAAGUGUCAUUCCCAAUCGCGUCACUCGCCAUUUCCACGGCGCUUGCCUAAUCGCAGAGCGCUGAGAGCCCGCUGACGCCCCAUGACAGGGCUUGAGCGCUGAAGGUGGGAUCGACGUGGAUUCGGGUGCUAAGGUCACCAGGCGUCCUCAUGGCUCUCAGUCGCUGGCUGACCUUGGAGGUGACCAGCCUCCAAAGAUGCUGCAGUUUUUAUGCUUAAAUUUCCCGGAAGAUGCCUUUGCUCCAAAGUAUCUCAGACUUCAUCGGACUGACUAGCUCCGCUCAUGCUUGAGCCCCUCAGGCCUCAGAGCACGCUUGCUGAGUCAACUUCCACAUAAAAAUUCAGUUGUGGCUGCUGUUUUCUCCUCAAGGGCUUGAUAAGUCUUCUCUUUAAUACAAAAAUCUCACUGCUUGAAGCAUUCCCGAGGUGGAGGACCUGGCUUGCUUAUCUCUGUGCAACAAGGAUUUUAACUCCCAUCUUUUACUUGCCACGUAAGCAUCCUGGUGCGCAGCCCAGGGGGGCAUGGAAGGAAAUAAAGCAAACGCUUUCUAUCCCUUCUGUUGAAGCUGUUCUGUACUCCGAAAAAAUUAAAAAUGCAUUAGAUCAGAGAGAGGGAAUUAGUCUGUAACCUAGUGGUUAUGGCCCUCCGUUGGGAAGACAAAAGAUGGCUUUAUGUUCCUGUGUUGCAGAACUGUUUAUAUAUUUUACAUCCAUAAAUCCAAAAAUAAGCACGGACUUAAGCCCAGGGUGCCUUCUCCCAGUGAAGAGGCGCUGACUUAAUCUGUCCCUUUGGGCAAAUUUUUUACAAAAACUGUGCAAGGCUCAAAAGAAGGGGAUGGAGCACUCCCCUCCUUCUCUGUGCCCCUAGACUAGUCCACAGAUAGGCUCUUAGGCUCACAGAAGAUUCCCUGAAGGAGAAAAAUUAAUUGUUACUUUAUCUUCAGCGUCCUGGAGGAGUUCUUUAGUGGUGAAACUAUUGCGUAAAGCAGAGACAGGGGUCUUCUGGUUAGGCUUCCUGUUUCCUCAGUUUUUUUGAAAGAAAAAUGACCACCUAAGACCUUCAAGAGAACCGCUACUUGAAGAAGUAACAUCUUUAAAAUACCUGAGCACCAGAGAGAUUCAGAGCUUAAUGUACAACUCUGUCCUCAGCACUUUUCUAACAGCUUGUUCAGUUUUUGUGGAUCUCAUUCUAAGACACUUAAUUCCCUCCACGUAUUUAUUCAAUGUCGAGCUUAGGAACUUAAGUAAGAACUGUCAUUUCUCAGAUGCAAGUUCCUGAAAAUUGAGCACCACCACAGUUUUGCGAUAUGGAGGGAUCUUGGCCUACUGAUUAUGUGGUCUGAAAAGGCUCCUUUCCUCGUGGUCCUUCCGCUUGACCACCACAGGGCUAAGCACAUCACCAGGUGGAGUACAUCAGAGGAGGAUUCCUACAUAAUCUUGAUGGCACACUCAAAGGGUCUCUGCUGCCUUCUAUGCAAACAUAGGUCAUCACACAUUAAAAUAAAGUACAGUGCUGACAGGCUCUGAAAAUUGUCUCAUUUCACCCAUACUGGCCAAAUAAAAGCUAAGCAGGAAGUGAAAGAAGAAAGUCCCCUCCCACCCCACCUGAAGGAUUGUUAUUACAGUCUUUGAUUAUGAAACUGCAAGGAUCGGAGGGAUUUCUUUGCAGAUGGCUUUACAGAUUGCCAUCAACUAUUCUCUAAAGAACUUUUCUGUUUUUUUCCAAGAUUGUUUUGAAAGAGAAGGGAGGAGAUAAUUUCUAAAUUUCAUGUUUUGUCUUGACUGUAGCUUCAAAAAGGUAUCAUCUGACUGCAGAUUAGUAUUGCUGCUGAUCACAGUAACUAUAAAAAAAUCAAGUCAAUUGUCUUUAGACUGGGAGCAUCUCCAUCACUAAAUACACAAAAUUCAUGUUGAUGUUUUGACUUUAUUUAGUGAUGGAAAACUGCUUAGGUGGGGAAUCUGUAACAUUUUCUGGAAGUGAAUGAAGAAUCACAUUUAAAUCACUAAAAGAAAAAUAGGAAGUAAAUAUUAGAGAGGUGAAAAGGACAGCUGAAAAGGGAGCUGAACUUGAUAGACCUAGGCUGACUAAUACGGGACAGACAAUGCAAUUUUAUCAAACAAAUCAGGAUUAGCAAAGUACUUGCAUAUAUGCUAAUUGAAGUGCAUACUUAAGCCCCAUAAAAAUCAAUUAAACUUAAGCACUCAUUUAAAUCUCUUUCUUUAAUGAAGCUGUAAGAAUCAUGGAAUAUUAUUUUGUUUAGAAAUAAUACAAAAUACAGUGCAUGCCUAGUAGUAUUAAGAAAAGUGCUAAGGAAUGAAAAAAAAAUGUAAUUACACAGGAAAGAUUACAUCUGCUGCUCAAAAUUCUGAGAACAGCUCUCAUGAAUGAACUCAGCCUUACUAAAGCAUAGCCAAGUUUGCAGAACUGAAAAGCUGUAUUUAGCCGUUCCUUUUAGCUUUACACAUUUAUAUUAAAGUAAAUAUCAUCUUGAUUCAGUGCAUUGCUAACAGCAGCAAAAUUCUUAAUCAUUGCAAGGGUGCAGGAGCAGUAGACCUUUUGGAGAUGAAUGAAAACUGAGGAUGGAUAUAACAAAAUGCAGUUUAUGACUGGACACUGUUUCCCCAGAACAAAAAGGCAUCAAUUUCAUUACAAGCAAAUAUAAAGUACCUAAGACCUGACCUAAUGGUCACUGAAGUCACUGGACUUCAGAUAUUUUUGUUUAAAGGUCGUGAUGGGGAAGCCCUAUAAAAAAUUGUCUUACUCGCUUAAACCCUGAGUAUAGUUUGGGACCCCAUGCAAAAAACACCCAAGUACACAUUUCAUCACUGAGACCCAAUGAAGUUAAUUAUUUAUAUUUAUAUUUAUAUAUUACUUAUAUCAUAUAUGUUAUUAUACUUUUAUAUAAAAGUAUAAAAGGGGACAAAGUGUGCAUGUGUGUGUGCACGAGGGUGGGAUGGGGGAGUUGUGCUGUUUGUAGUUUGUUGCUGCUAACGUAGUUGCAUGUUUUGCCAUCAGUUGCCUAAAUAAUUGGUAAGGCUUAGUUCCUUUGGCUGUAUGCUCAAUGCAUUCGCUGCAGAGAGAUCCCCGGCCCCACACCACCACGGUACAGAAUGGCUCGGGUCCACACUAUUUGGGAACUUCUGAAAUAGGCUGGCUGCAUCCAUAUUAAAAACCCUUGGUUUGCUCAAGAACCUACAUGGUGUCCUUCUUGAUUGUACACGUAAUUGUGGUAUUUCCUAGCUCAAAGUUUCUGAAAAAUAUGCAGGUCAUGUUUCAUAUAUUUUUAUAGCGUGAAAUAAGCCAUGUAUUACCCGGCAAAGGGACACACAAGGUUACUUGAGGCUGCAAAGCCUUUCGGGAGUGCCUUGGAAGAAGGUAAUGCAGGAGUCAAAGCUGGUGCAGGCUCAUCCAUGCAGUCUUUGGUGAAUGGUUUUUGGAGUGGAUUGUCCUUAGAACUGCCCCUUGUUUUGCAGGGAACUAAAUGUUUCAGUCAAGUGUUGAUGAUCAGGGAAUCAAGAACCAGAAGAGAAUUGGGGGACUAAGAUAUUUGGUAGUUUUGAAGUUCCCUUUGAGAAAGAUAAUGAAUGCACAGUUCUCUAAUCAUUAACUUUGGUCUAAUAGCUCACUGCAAAAAAUAUAAAAAAUAUGUUGUGAAAAAUGUUUAUAUUUUGUGAAAGAUGACAAUCUGAAUCUGAUUACUUUUCUUCAUUCAACUGUUAUCCUAUAAAAUUCCU